GACGAACGCUGGCGGCGUGCUUAACACAUGCAAGUCGAACGGAAAGGCCCUGCUUUUGUGCGGUGCUCGAGUGCCGAACGCGUGAGUGACACGUGAGUAACCUGCCCUUGACUUUGGGAUAACUUCAGGAAACUGGGGCUAAUAUCGGAUAGGAUCUCCUGCUGCAUGGUGGGGGUUGGAAAGUUUCGGCGGUUGGGGAUGGACUCGCGGCUUAUCAGCUUGCUGGUGGGGUAGUGGCUUACCAAGGGUUUGACGGGUAGCCGGCCUGAGAGGGUGACCGGCCACCUUGGGACUGAGAGACGGCGCAGACGGCUACGGGAGGCAGCAGGGGGGAACAUGACACAAUGGGCGGGAGCGUGAUGCAGCAACGCCGCGUGCGGGAUGACGGCUUUCGGGGUGUAAACCGCUUUCGCCUGUGACGAAGCGUGAGUGACGGUAAUGGGUAAAGAAGCACCGGCUAACUACGUG
rnacentral:rRNA from 1 species